rnacentral:rRNA from 1 species
UACGUAGGGUGCGAGCGUUGUCCGGAAUUAUUGGGCGUAAAGAGCUCGUAGGCGGCUUGUCGCGUCGGAUGUGAAAGCUCGGGGCUUAACUUCGGGUCGGCAUUCGAUACGGGCAGGCUAGAGUUCGGUAGGGGAGAUCGGAAUUCCUGGUGUAGCGGUGAAAUGCGCAGAUAUCAGGAGGAACACCGGUGGCGAAGGCGGAUCUCUGGGCCGAUACUGACGCUGAGGAGCGAAAGCGUGGGGAGCGAACAGG